rnacentral:rRNA from 1 species
ACCAAGGCGACGAUCAGUAGCCGACCUGAGAGGGUGAUCGGCCACAUUGGAACUGAGACACGGUCCAAACUCCUACGGGAGGCAGCAGUGGGGAAUAUUGCACAAUGGGCGAAAGCCUGAUGCAGCAACGCCGCGUGAGCGAUGAAGGCCUUCGGGUCGUAAAGCUCUGUCCUCAAGGAAGAUAAUGACGGUACUUGAGGAGGAAGCCCCGGCUAACUACGUGCCAGCAGCCGCGGUAAUACGUAGGGGGCUAGCGUUAUCCGGAAUUACUGGGCGUAAAGGGUGCGUAGGUGGUUUCUUAAGUCAGAGGUGAAAGGCUACGGCUCAACCGUAGUAAGCCUUUGAAACUGGGGAACUUGAGUGCAGGAGAGGAGAGUGGAAUUCCUAGUGUAGCGGUGAAAUGCGUAGAUAUUAGGAGGAACACCAGUUGCGAAGGCGGCUCUCUGGACUGUAACUGACACUGAGGCACGAAAGCGUGGGGAGCAAACAGGAUUAGAUACCCUGGUAGUCCACGCCGUAAACGAUGAGUACUAGCUGUCGGAGGUUACCCCCUUCGGUGGCGCAGCUAACGCAUUAAGUACUCCGCCUGGGAAGUACGCUCGCAAGAGUGAAACUCAAAGGAAUUGACGG